CUGGUUGAUCCUGCCAGUAGUCAUAUGCUUGUCUCAAAGAUUAAGCCAUGCAUGUCUAAGUUCAAGCAAAAAUAAUGUGAAACCGCGAAUGGCUCAUUAUAUCAGUUAUGGUUCCUUAGAUCGCACUUACUACUUGGAUAACUGUGGUAAUUCUAGAGCUAAUACAUGCGUUGGACUCCGAACUUUACGGUGAGGAGUGCUUUUAUUAGAUCAAAGCCAAUCGGGUCUUCGGAUUCGUUUAGUUGGUGACUCUGAAUAACUUUGCUGAUCGCACGGUCUUGCACCGGCGACGCAUCUUUCAAGUGUCUGCCUUAUCAACUGUCGAUGGUAGGUUAUGCGCCUACCAUGGUUGUAACGGGUAACGGGGAAUCAGGGUUCGAUUCCGGAGAGGGAGCCUGAGAAACGGCUACCACAUCCAAGGAAGGCAGCAGGCGCGCAAAUUACCCACUCCCGGCACGGGGAGGUAGUGACGAAAAAUAACGAUACGGAACUCAUACGAGGCUCCGUAAUCGGAAUGAGUACACUUUAAAUCCUUUAACGAGGAUCUAUUGGAGGGCAAGUCUGGUGCCAGCAGCCGCGGUAAUUCCAGCUCCAAUAGCGUAUAUUAAAGUUGUUGUGGUUAAAAAGCUCGUAGUUGGAUCUCGGUUUCGGGUGAAUGGUGCACCUUGCGGUGUUUACUAUUUAUUCGGACGAUUUUGUUGGUUCGUUCCUGGUUCUCUUAAUCGAGUGCCUUGAGUGGCCAACACGUUUACUUUGAAAAAAUUGGAGUGCUCAAAGCAGGCGCUACAGCCUGAACAUUAGUGCAUGGAAUAAUGGAAUAGGAUCUCGGUUCUAUUUCGUUGGCUUUCGGAGUCGAGGUAAUGAUUAAUAGGGACAGACGGGGGCAUUCGUACUGCGACGUUAGAGGUGAAAUUCUUGGAUCGUCGCAAGACGAACUACUGCGAAAGCAUUUGCCAAGAAUGUUUUCAUUAAUCAAGAACGAAAGUUAGAGGUUCGAAGGCGAUCAGAUACCGCCCUAGUUCUAACCAUAAACGAUGUCGACCGGCAAUCUGCUCUCGUUAAAUUAAUGACUGAGCAGGCGGCCUGCUGGAAACAAGAGUAUUUGGAUUCCAGGGGGAGUAUGGUUGCAAAGCUGAAACUUAAAAGAAUUGACGGAAGGGCACCACCAGGAGUGGAGCCUGCGGCUUAAUUUGACCCAACACGGGAAAUCUCACCAGGCCCGGACACCGGAAGGAUUGACAGAUUGAGAGCUCUUUCUUGAUUCGGUGGGUGGUGGUGCAUGGCCGUUCUUAGUUGGUGGAGCGAUUUGUCUGGUUAAUUCCGAUAACGAACGAGACUCUGGCCUACUAAAUAGACGUCAAAUCUUCAA
rnacentral:rRNA from 1 species